rnacentral:rRNA from 1 species
CCUACGGGUGGCAGCAGUGAGGAAUAUUGGUCAAUGGGCGAGAGCCUGAACCAGCCAUGCCGCGUGAAGGCGAGUGCCCUACGGGCGUUAAACUUCUUUUGUUCGGGAGCAAUAAGGGCCACGUGUGGCCCUCUUAUAGUACCGCCCGGAUCAGCAUCGGCUAACUCCGUGCCAGCAGCCGCGGUAAUACGGGGGAUGCGAGCGUUAUCCGGAUUUAUUGGGUUUAAAGGGGGCGUCGGCGGCGCUUCAGGUCAGCGGUGAAAUACCGGGGCGCAACCCCGGGGCUGCCGUUGAAACCGGAGGGCUAGAAUUCCGAUGCGGUCGGAGGAAUGUGUGGUGUAGCGGUGAAAUGCAUAGAUAUCACACAGAACACCGAUUGCGAAGGCAUCUGACGAAGCGGAGAUUGACGCUGAUGCACGAAAGCGUGGGUAUCGAACAGGAUUAGAUACCCGAGUAGUC